rnacentral:rRNA from 1 species
CCUACGGGAGGCAGCAGUGAGGAAUAUUGGUCAAUGGACGAGAGUCUGAACCAGCCAAGUAGCGUGAAGGAUGACUGCCCUAUGGGUUGUAGACUUCUUUUAUAUGGGAAUAAAACGUUCCACGUGUGGGAUUUUGUAUGUACCAUAUGAAUAAGGAUCGGCUAACUCCGUGCCAGCAGCCGCGGUAAUACGGAGGCUCCGAGCGUUAUCCGGAUUUCUUGGGUUUAAAGGGAGCGUAGGUGGAUUGUUAAGUCAGUUGUGAAAGUUUGCGGCUCAACCGUAACAGUGCAGGUGAAACUGGCAGUCUUGAGUACAGUAGAGGCGGGCGGAAUGCGUGGUGUAGCGGUGAAAGGCUUCGAUAUCGCGAAGAACCCCGAUUGCGAAGGCAGUUCACUGGACUGCAACUGACACUGAGGCUCGAAAGUGUGGGUAUCAAACAGGAUUAGAUACCCUAGUAGUC